CCAUUUUCAGCUCAGUUUCAUAAAUCUGGAAACAUCCUACCGUUUAUCUCUUAUUUAGACCAAUUGACUUCGGGAAAGGGGAGGAGCAAGGGGGCCAUUGCAAAACGACCCCAAUAAACAUUGGGUGUUAAUUUACAGGUUGAAAGAUGUGGAACGCUCGGGUUAAAGCAGUCUACAUACUGCUGGAAAAGGUGGAAAUUGUUAGAGGAAUGCAAGGAGCUGAUUCCCCAAAGUCGACUUCAGGGGGCACUCAUGUCUGAGGUACCAAAUGCGGUCCCAUCUGUUCCAUUCAACG